CCCUUAGAUGUCCGGGGCCGCACGCGCGCUACACUGAAGGAAUCAGCGUGGCUUCCUCCCUGGUCCGAAAGGACCGGGAAACCCGUUGAAUCUCCUUCGUGAUAGGGAUUGGGGCUUGAAAUUGUUCCCCAUGAACGAGGAAUUCCCAGUAAGCGCGAGUCAUAAGCUCGCGUUGAUUACGUCCCUGCCCUUUGUACACACCGCCCGUCGCUACUACCGAUUGAACGGUUUAGUGAGGGCCUCGGAUUGGUCUCGGCCCGCUCUUCACCGGGCGGCGCCGUUGGUCGAGAAGACGCUCGAACUUGAUCGUUUAGAGGAAGUAAAAGUCGUAACA
rnacentral:rRNA from 1 species